UCCCAUAAAACUAACUUCCUUUUAACCUAAUAACCCCAACCAAAUCAAUGAAUUCAAUAAACCCCUUAAAUCCACAUAAACUCCCACCGCAAGGAAAUAAUUAAAUUUUAAUCUAAUAAUUAACCAAUUGUACCUUUUGCAUCAUGGGUUAGCAAACCCCUUACCAAAGGUUAAAUUCCCGAAAACUAAGGAGCUGGAUAUAUUUUGCUAAGAGCUAAUCAAUCUGUGUGUCAGUACAGUUGAAAAAAAUAUCUAUAUUCCAGAGGCUACAUACCUUCCGCAUUAGUUGAUAGCUGGAUAGCUUUUACCCGUCAUUAAACGAUCAUCUAAUCCAUUAGAAUGACAUUUCUAUGAGGAUAAGCUCAUAGAAUCCUAUUUAUCAAAAAUUAAGGACUACCCUUAAAGUAGGCCUACCAACAGCCAUCUUAAAGAGACCGUUACAGGCCCACAAACCAAAUCCAUAAAUUUCUAAUCAAGAUAAACACCCCAAAGCUUAUUCUCUCCAAUUUCAAGAGAACUAAUUCUGCUAACACAAGUAUUAUAUCUUAAAUAACUCUUCAAAAUUUAUAAAUGAUUAAAAGGAACUCGGCAAACUCUAGCUCCAACUGUUUACCAAAAACAUUGCCUCUUGAAAAUAUUAGAGGUACAUCCUGCCCGGUGACAUACGUGUUAAACGGCCGCGGUAACCUGACCGUGCUAAGGUAGCAUAAUCAUUUGCCUCUUAAUUGGUGGCUAGUAUGAAUGGACACAUGAGAGCUAUGCUGUCUCUUUCUCACACAUAAAAACUAACCUUCAGGCGAAAAGGCCUGAAUAACUUUAUAGGACAAGAAGACCCUGUCAAGCUUUACUAGUCAGACCUAUUCAUAAAUAUUUUAAUAAACUCACUAUGUCUCAUCUAGUUUAGUUGGGGCGACUGGGGACCAAAACUAGCGUCCCCCUCCAAUCUUAAGGAUAAUAAUCCUUUUAACUGAUCCUCAAAAAGACAAGAGACAAGCUACUGCAGGGAUAACAGGCUAAUUUUCCCUAAGAGCCCAAAUCGAAGGGAAAGUUUGGCACCUCGAUGUUGGCUUAAGACAUCCAUAAAGUGCAGCAGCUUUAUACGGUAGGUUUGUUCAACCUUUAAAGUCUUACAUGAGCUGAGUUCAGACCGGCGUAAGCCAGGUCAGAUUCUAUCCAUAAAGUAAAUAACCCCCUCCGUUUGAUUGUACGAAAGGACCUUAAACGGCUAUAAUAUAGUUAUUUCACAAAAAAUCCCUAACCCCCUAAAUUCUUUUCUUUCUUGUCAUGUUAGCUUAUCUGCACUGAUACAAAAUCAAUAAACUCUACACAUGCCU
rnacentral:rRNA from 1 species